rnacentral:rRNA from 1 species
CCUACGGGUGGCAGCAGUGGGGAAUAUUGGACAAUGGGGGGAACCCUGAUCCAGCGACGCCGCGUGAGUGAAGAAGUAUUUCGGUAUGUAACGCUCUAUCAGCAGGGAAGCAAAUGACGGUACCUGACUAAGAAGCCCCGGCUAACUACGUGCCAGCGGCCGCGGUAAUACGGAGGGGGCAAGCGUUAUCAGGAUUUACUGGGUGUAAAGGGAGCGUAGACGGUGCAGCAAGACGGAUGUGAAAGGUCCGGGCCCAACCCCGGGACUGCAUUGGAAACUGUUGGGCUGGAGUACAGGGAGGGUAAGCGGAAUUCCUGGUGUAGCGGUGAAAUGCGUAGAUAUUAGGAGGAACACCGGUGGCGAAGGCGGCUUACUGGACUGUAACUGACGUUGAGGCUCGAAAGCGUGGGGAGCAAACAGGAUUAGAUACCCUUGUAGUC